rnacentral:misc_RNA from 1 species
GGAAUUUAUAUCCUAAUUAACUGCAUAAUUAUAGGAACAAUUAUAUAUAAAUUUGCACCCUAUCAUUAUUGGAAUAUAAGAAAAUUCUUCUCAAAUCUCUUCAGCUAUGUCUACCUCCACAACGACUAACUUGUAACUUGAUGAAACAAGUAGUAAAUAUUUGAAAAGCAAGAAAAAAGAUUCAUCAAAAUCUAUUGUUGUAAUUUAGUUUUGUCGCAAUAAUGUAUAUUAAGUUGCACAACACAGAAGGGAAACGAAGGUAAGGGAUUUGGCAAAAUAUUCAUCAGACAUUGAAAACAUGUGCGGCUUUGUUCUUUGUUUAAAUAAGCCUAUAAUAUUGGAAAAAGGGGAGAGAAAGAGGUUACUCCAUUUCUUCCCUAACAAUAAUGUUAACAUAACAAGGCUAUAGAACUGCACCAAUCAGCUCAGUUGUGAUGAAGCAGAUGCCUCAUCUUCUUGUCUCUCCAUUACUAUACGUCUCGAUGGUGGCCCGACAAUACUCAGUAUCACUGGUAGAAAUAUUAGCCCAUGCAAGAAACCAAUAAUGAUCAGUGCCAGGUACAUUUGGAAGUAAUAGACCACAAAAAUUUCUGAUCUUGAGAAGCAAAGGACAAUGACUCCAACAAGCUUCGUGAAAGUAAUUCCACUAAGGACAGAAGCUCCCAUAGUACUCAGAGCCUGCUUAGCCCUAUGGCUCCUAUCCCCUUGACUUGCCAAGAAAGCAUGUGCAAUAUGUACACAAAACUCAACAGCAAUUCCUAUUGACAUUAUAAGGUUUACGACGGAGACAGCGUUUAGUUGAAUAUCCAGAACUGCCAUUAUACCCAUUAGAUCGACAACAAUCAUCAGCAAAACAAGUAGAAUGAUAGCAGAACUCCAAAAACUGGAAGUGAUAAGCAGGCAAACAAUAAAUAUAGCACCAAGGGCUAUAGCAAUAUUGAUCAAAGCUAUCCUCCAAAUAUCCAGAUAUUGCUCAAAGAAGAUGUAGAACACAGAAUAUGGAAAGAUGUUGAUCUUCAGAGAAUCAGAUAUUCUUGAACUGAAUUCCCGCGCAGCUCGCAUUGCAUUAACAUAGUCACCCUGAGGAAAAUGAGAGCCAUCAAAGAAAAAAUGGAUGUUGAACAAAAUUUAUGAUAAAAUAGUACUUGAACUGAAUUCUAAGACCAGUUCUUUUAAAGGCAUUGCAAUACUUGUUUGUUAAGCGGUGUGUGAUAUGUACGAAACUCUGAAGCUUGUAUAACACCAGUCUCAUAACCUGAAAAGCAGUUGAAGCCAAAGAUGUCAAAUGGAAUACUUAAUGAAAGAGAACAUGUCAAUCUCACUAACCAUUUAGAUCCACACUGUUGGUAUAAGCCCCAUGACCACCCUUUGCACAAUCAGCAGAUGGCAGAGCAUUUAGGAACCAUGGAAGCUUCUCCCUGAAUUGCACUGUAGAUGGUCGGUUGUUAAUAAGAUCCGAAUGAAGGAAACACGUUGUACAAUCUUUGCAAACUCCACCUAAACCACAAUAAUCCUCAUCAGGUGAGCAGCAAGGUGGCUGAUCAUCUGGUGGGCAAUAAGUACCAUUUAUAAACUUUCGACAGCAACCAAAAGCCUCUGGUGAUAUCCACACCAAAAAAUCAUCAAGCCAUGAUGCAGCAGGCUUUGCAAUGUAACUUGAUUCAGGAAUUAAUGAGGCUCUUGAUAUCUCAUUCAGGAGUGAGUUUGAAUCACAUUGGCUGAUAGAGCAUAACUGGUUUGUAUGUCUUGAUUCAAGGCAAUAAUUGUAAUCCUCGACAACAAAAUACAAUGGCGGUCCAAUUCUCAAAUAUUCAGAAACGUUAUUGAAAUAACCCUGAAGGUAAGAGUCUCGGGGAAGAACAAUCUUUUGCUCUAAACCAGACUCAAUCCUUGUACAUAGUGCAAUGCUUGCCAAAGCAAAUCCAACAAAGAUCACAAUGAUGACUAUUUGAACUCCCCAAAGCCCCAGAAUCGGUGCAUGAACCUCCUUCAUAUAUCUAGCCAGCAGACUUGAUCUUCUCUGGUAGAUGCCUUCAUUAGGCCCUCCAGAAGAUGAAGGAACUUUUAUGCAUGGGAAACAAUCAAUCCUGUUAUCCUCAGAUCUCCGACAGUCAAAUACAAUCAAUGCAACAAAAGCAGUAAUUUGCAAAAAGAAGUCCAAUAGAACAGCCAAAGCUGCAAACAUAGAGAAAACACGACAUGCUGGCAUAGGAGUGAAACUUCCAACAGCAAAUGCCAGAAUCUCAGAUAAACUAGCAAGUGUUAUUGAAGGGCCAACUUCAACCAGUGCAUUACUUAUUCGUUCAUCUAAAGGUAGCUCCAAUGAUUGCCGUUUCACAGCAUGCACCAAAAUACACAUGUUAUCCACUCCAACUGCCAAAACUAGAAAAGGAAUGACUUCCAUGAUUAUCAGGGUUGACUUGACUCCAACAGCACUGAAAAAUCCAACAGAUCCGAGGACAGAAAGCAUGACAAGCACAACUCCUGAAAGACCAAGCAAUACCUUGGAUGAGACAUAGAAUGUAGACAAAUAAGGUACAUCACCCAACGUCACAGAUAUGUAAGCAAACAUCACAGCGUAGCUCACGAUUACAGUUACAACAUCUGCAGUGCUUUCUCUUUUCAAUUCUUCCUCAAUUGAGCUCUCACUUGAGUAUGAAAGAGUAAGAUUUCUAGAAUGCAUCAUUGGUAGUAGCUCCUCCUCCACUAACUUAAUGAAAGCUUUUUCCCAUGCCACUGCCUUUGCAUUGCCUUCUUCAUCAAUUGCAUUAUUAACUGGAUAGGUAACAACAAAUGCAGAAGCCUCAGUGUAGUUAUUAUCGAAAAAUCCUCCUAAGGCAGUGCUUGGAUCAAGGGGGGCCUCAAAUGCACUCAAACAUGUAUCAGCAGAAGUAUAAUGCUGAAAACAAUAUUCUACAUGUUGGACUCCUCCAUAGUAGUCAUAAUUUUCAGGGUCCAUCUUAAAAUACUGUAGAACACUUUGAGUAGCACAAUCCUGGCCCAAAGGCUUCAUGCAAAUGUCAGUUAGAGAUACAACUGAACCAGAAGAAUUAGCAGAUAUGCCAUCAACCUUGUUCUGAAUUUCAAAGAGUAACUGGAUAUUUUCAUCUGUAACAAUACUGGGCUUCUUGUCAUGCUUUGGAUCAGGCAAAGUUGCUAGAAUAAGCUGUUCAAUUCUGUAGAAGGGGGCAAGGUGGCUAUCAAAAAACUGUUUUUCUUCAGCUGCCUUACUCCCUUGGCCUACCCACAACUUAUCAGGCUUUGUCUCCACUUUAAUACGAAUUAAACCUACACAAAGUACAAGAACAACUGCCAAGGACGAACACAAAACAAGAGUGGGGUUUCGAGCAACCUUUGUACCAUAUUGCCUGUAAAAGUUUGACAUGUAACUUUGAACAGUUGGAAGUUUGAUCCUAUUCAUCAGAGAAGCCUUUCCAUCCAUUAUAAUAUUCCUAGAAUCAGCUUCUCCUUCACCCAUAAACUUUAACAAUGAUUCUGUACUACCUGUAGCUUUCCGUUCUCUUCUCUGAUGGAACAAAGUCCAUCCCACUAAUGCAGAAACCAGCAGAAUAAAUACAAUCACUAAUGAGAAAUCAACACAUUUGACCUUAAGAGGCCCAACUAUGAUUGAACAGGAAUCUUCCUUGUGCGGAGUAGGAGGCUCUAAAUUUGAGCAAACUGGAGAUAACGGGCAGUCACCACAAGAGCAUCCCAAUAACGUGUCUCCGCAUGAAUAAGCAGGCACAUCCAUAAGCUUCAUUUCAGAUGAAUCAGGAAUGCUCAACUUAAAAUUAAUGGCAUAAGGAGACCCAGGAAAUCCAGGGGGCGUUUUCUGACCAAUAAAUGCAAGCCAUUCUUUGGAAUUUUUGGCACCACCACCAACAAAUUCUAUUGCCCGUGUAUUCAUUGUCCCAAACUUAACAUCUUUGCAUGACUUGUACAGCCCUUCUCCAAAAGUUUCAGAUAAAUAAUAGUCAAUACCAUCCACAGUUAAAUUACCACCAACCUCAGCAGUGGAAGUCACAUUGAUGAAAAGACUUUGAUUUGGGGAGCAGGAUAGCUCACAGAAAAGAUUUAAGAAGUUCCUCAAGCAUGAUGGACAACCCACAAGGAAAGGAAUAGCUUGCUGGACUUGUGCCCGCAAUGUAUCAAAUUGAGCCUCUGUACAACAAACAUUUCCCCUUAUUGUUGGACACAAGCUUUGAAUCUUGGCUGAGAAAAGCUCGUCAGGCUUCACAGAUUGGGAACCAUAAGGGCAAUUCAGAACCUUUCCAUCACUGCGUUCUCCACAUAUGUCAUACAUUGCACAAUAUUCUUCAGAAUGUCUUUCCCCAUUUGUGACCCCCGAACCAGUCUUCUCUGCACCCAGUAAUGAUGCGAACAAAAUCACUACAUGGACAGCAGCGAAGCAACCCAGAAAAGACGCCAUUUCAAUUCCUUCUUUUUACUCCAAUUUUUUUGUGGGAUUUAUGUGAAUCGCAGUAUAGUAUAACAAGGAAAAGAAAAGUGCAGGGGAGAAAGGGUUAAGAUUCAGUUGGCUUGAGUAAGGGCUAAGAUUCAGUUGAAGAGUAAUUGACUAUUGUUCGACUAGAAACAAGGAGCGAAAUAUCUUAAGAAGAAUAAGAAGAGAAUAGGUAAUGCAAUUCAAAAGAAGAGAAUAGGUAAUAUCUCGGAUGUUGUCUUUUUGUGGUUAAUGAAAAGUAAUGAGAAUGGGACACGCUUCAUUAAUCUUGACGUGGC